UACGUAGGGGGCAAGCGUUGUCCGGAUUUAUUGGGCGUAAAGAGCUCGUAGGUGGUUCGGUAAGUCGGAUGUGAAAUCUCCAGGCUCAACCUGGAGGGGUCAUUCGAUACUGCCGUGACUAGAGUUCGGUAGGGGAGUGUGGAAUUCCUGGUGGAGCGGUGAAAUGCGCAGAUAUCAGGAGGAACACCCGUAGCGAAGGCGGCACUCUGGGCCGAUACUGACACUGAGGAGCGAAAGCUGGGGGAGCAAACAGG
rnacentral:rRNA from 1 species